AUGGCGCCAAGUACCAAUACGAACGCAAAUGACUACAACCGAAAUGUACAACUGCACGACACCCGCCAAGUUCGACGACGCUCGCCACCCGAACGACUACCGCCGACGCGUACCUCUUCUUCGCCGUGGGUUUCGUCAAGUUCAAUGGUGAACCCCGAAGUCCUCGGAUCCGUCAAGUCCAACAACGACUAUGUACUACUAUCGGCGACCUCGAACGACUACGAAACGUGA
rnacentral:rRNA from 1 species